rnacentral:rRNA from 1 species
GAUCAUGGCUCAGGAUGAACGCUAGCUACAGGCUUAACACAUGCAAGUCAAGGGGCAGCAUGGUCUUAGCUUGCUAAGGCCGAUGGCGACCGGCGCACGGGUGAGUAACACGUAUCCAACCUGCCGUCUACUCUUGGACAGCCUUCUGAAAGGAAGAUUAAUACAAGAUGGCAUCAUGAGUCCGCAUGUUUACAUGAUUAAAGGUAUUCCGGUAGACGAUGGGGA